GUCCACGCCGUAAACGAUGGAUACUAGGUGCUGUGGGUAUUGACCCCCGCAGUGCCGGCGCUAACGCAAUAAGUAUCCCGCCUGGGAAGUACGGCCGCAAGGCUAAAACUCAAAGGAAUUGACGGGGGCCCCGCACAAGCGGUGGAGUAUGUGGUUUAAUUCGACGCAACGCGCAGAACCUUACCCAGACUUGACAUUGACGGAACCUGAUAGAAAUAUCGGGGUGCCCUUCGGGGCCCGGAAAACGGUGCUGCAUGGCUGUCGU
rnacentral:rRNA from 1 species